rnacentral:rRNA from 1 species
GAGUUUGAUCGUGGCUCAGGAUGAACGCUAGCGGCAGGCCUAAUACAUGCAAGUCGAACGGCAGCGGGUGCAGCAAUACAUGCCGGCGAGUGGCGCACGGGUGCGUAACGCGUAUGCAACCUACCUUUAACUGGGAGAUAGCCCGGAGAAAUUCGGAUUAAUACCCCAUAACAUAAUUGAAACAGCAUUGUUUUAUUACUAAAGAAUUUCGGUUAAAGAUGGGCAUGCGUGACAUUAGCUAGUUGGUAGGGUAACGGCCUACCAAGGCUACGAUGUCUAGGGGGUCUGAGAGGAUGAUCCCCCACACUGGUACUGAGACACGGACCAGACUCCUACGGGAGGCAGCAGUAAGGAAUAUUGGGCAAUGGAGCAACUCUGACCCAGCCAUGCCGCGUGAAGGAUGACUGCCCCUACGGGUUGUAAACUUCUUUUGUAUGGGAAUAAACCCGGUUAGUGUAACCGGUUGAAUGUACCAUAAGAAUAAGCAUCGGCUAACUCCGUGCCAGCAGCCGCCGCGGU